rnacentral:rRNA from 1 species
GACGAACCGAGCGAACGUUGUUCGGAAUCACUGGGCUUAAAGGGCGCGUAGGCGGGCUGUCAAGUCUGGGGUGAAAUCCCACGGCUCAACCGUGGAACUGCCUUAGAUACUGACGGCCUCGAGGGAGAUAGGGGCGAGCGGAACUGUGAGUGGAGCGGUGAAAUGCGUUGAUAUUCACAGGAACUCCGGUGGCGAAGGCGGCUCGCUGGAUCUCUUCUGACGCUGAGGCGCGAAAGCCAGGGGAGCAAACGGG